rnacentral:rRNA from 1 species
UACGUAGGCAGCAAGCGUUGUUCGGAAUUCCUGGGCGUAAAGAGUGUGUAGGCGGUGCUCUAAGUUUGGUGUGAAAUCUCCCGGCUCAACUGGGAGGGUGCGCCGAAAACUGGAAUGCUUGAACAUGGGAGAGGAAAGCGGAAUUCCUGGUGUAGCGGUGAAAUGCGUAGAUAUCAGGAGGAACACCUGCGGUGUAGACGGCUUUCUGGACCAUUGUUGACGCUGAGACACGAAAGCGUGGGUAGCAAACAGG